GGUGGAGCAGAGUAUUCCUCAGGCUGUCGCAGGUUACGGUGAAUCCCAAGAGUCUUUACAAAGGUAAUUUCUGAAGAAUGAUUAUAGAUGCGUGAAAACAGAGGUUAUGCUCAUCUUUAUAAUUCCUGGAGCAAGCACAGAAAGCAGAAAAGUAAUGCCUUUGCCAGUAAGACACCAAUAUUGGAAAUCAGAUGGAUUGAGUCCCUGCUGAGUGGCCAUUAAAGGAAGCACUGUCUGCUAGGUCUUUAUACUGAUGUUUUCAACACCGUUGGAAGCAUAACUAUCCGCACUGAUGACUGGGCAACAACACUUUGGUCUACCAGCCAGCUUCAGGGCUUCAACUAAUUUUUAUUAUCAACAAGAUUAUUUUCAAGAUUCAAGUGCAACACAAGAUUCAGGAGUCUAAAGCUAUGUCUCUCUUCCCUCUGUUGACACUAAAACCAUAGCAGUAACAAGUCUUGACUUUCCUCACCCCGACCCUGGCCAGAUCCUCUUUUUCACCGUGAAGUACCUUUUGGACCAGAACUAUCACCUAUGAAAAAAGCGGUAGACACCCCAUUUUCUUGAUUCAGAGAACCCAGUCUACUUCCUCCAAGUUUUGAAAGCAAAGAACAAAGUCCAACUGACCUCAGUGUCCUUGGACUUAAUGAUACCCAGGGCUCAAUCAGAAUGAGAGUCUCUGUGAAUGAAGCACAUGCCAAUUUUGGUUAUAACUUGUCUAUUAAAUAACAUUUUUUUGUGUUGAAUACAUGAUGUGACAUCUACUCAGUAAUUAACUCCAGGGAAUUUCAAAUUCUUGGGGAAGCUAUUAUGGGUGGGCAGUUCACACAAUAUUCACUAUGUAUCCCUUGCAAGUUUAAGCGAACCAAAUUUCUCAUUUGAAUUUGCCUUCUGAAAAUUCUUUCACAAUUCUCUCUAUUCUUUUUCCUAUGUGUAGCAGACAAUCAGAUGUAACCUUUGUAAAUUUAGAAAAUAAAAACUGCUUUUGAGUAGAGAAAUUAUUUUGCUAGGCCUUUUAUGGUAUUUAAUUUAUUCACACUCAUCCUCUGUACAUUUUUAAUGUAUUUAUACAAUUCCUUAAGAUUUUCCCAUUGUUCAAAAUAACGUCUAUAUAUUUUGGUGGAUGCUUUACUAAUGUCUGUUUAUUAUCACCUUAAAAAUUGUGUCAUGAUUUAAUUUAGUUCAAUUGAAUUCAAAUUCUCCUGAGAUUGUUUAGGUAAAAGACUAUCAUAUUUUUAUUCUUCCUGACAAGUGGUUUAUUAUGUUUCCACAGUUUACCUAUUACAUACAUUUUGGAAGCAGCAGAAGCACUAAAACAUUAAAUAUCUAUUAUAAUUCUGGCUGAGUGUUGCUGGGUGUUUUUCUUUGCUUUGCUUUUUUUUCUUUUUAAGUGCCAUAUGA